ACCAGUAGCUACGCUGAACUGAAUGCGCUUGAUCUCAUCUGAGCUUCAAAGCUAAGCAGUCUGGCUCUUGGCAAGCAGUUGGAUGAGACCAACUUGGAAUCCUAUUAGCUAGAGAUC
rnacentral:rRNA from 1 species